GCAGUGAAUCGCGGGUAAUCACGGAUCGGUGUGUAGCAGGUGUGUGGCUGGCAGCUGAUCGUAACGGUACGAGGUUCAGGGUCAAUCGCUGGACAAUGUUGGCGAGCAGUGACGCGUGGUGACGCGGUUCGGUGGACGUCGAAA